rnacentral:misc_RNA from 1 species
AAGUCGUAACAAGGUAAACGUAGGUGAACCUGCGGUUGGGUCAUUAUUAAAUGAUAGUUAUUGGUUGACCUUUUCGGAGAACCUCAUCAGUAGCUAAUAACCUUUGUGAACCAUACUACUACACUUGCAUGGUUGCCGAACCGCUUGGUAAGGUAUUCGAUGCAGCAUCAAGAAUCAACCCUUUAAACUUGCCAUUACAUUUAAGAAAUUAAAUUAAACAACUUUAGUCAACGGAUCUCUUGGCUCUC